UGCUUCAUUAUGAUUCUGCAUUUUGCAUUUUAGGCAUAAAACAAACAAAAGAAAAUUCCAUUAUGCUAGUUUAUGAUGUUUAAUUGAAAUGUUUCCAGUUUUCAAAAAAGCAUCCAUUUGAUGUAUUACUAUGUCUCUGGACCUGGAAUAAAAACUACGGGUGAAACGUUAAUCCUAUAGUAAUCAGUGAUUAAUUCAUGAUUGGUUCUGUGUGAUGAAUUUGAGCUUGCUUUGCUGCUGAUUCAUUGACAUAAUAAGCUUGUGAUAUUCUAAUGAGAACCCUCUCUGCUGGUGUUCUAUCCCUGUGAGAUUCCUUUUAUAUCAUUCAAACAAUAUUUAUGGUUGAAUUUGAAUUUUUUGCAUAUGGUCACAUCAUCAGAAGUGGGAUGAUCACCGUGCAAUCAUGGCUGUUGGUGUGGUUGAUGGAAGUUCCGAAUCCAUUUUCCAUACUCUUAUGUCACUUGGUCCUUCAAGAUCAGCAUGGGAUUUCUGUUUCUACAAAGGCAGUGUGGUUGAGCACACUGACGUCAUUCACAAAGAGCUGUAUAGGGAUUGGUUGCCUUGAUUUAUUUUCAUAAGAAUUAUCAGAAGUUGGAUUGAACUACUUUAUCUGCUUGUGGAUGGAGUGGCACACCCUUGAUAUCAUCACUUCCUCUUGAUUGGUUGUAGCUGCCGUCCAGCCUCCGCAAUAUCUGUAGAGAAAGAAAAAGAGUGCAGUUCUUAGCAGAUUCUUGAGCUAAUUUUCUCUUUUAUCUGUGUCUGUCUCUUCAAUUUCCUUGUCUAUAAUUGUAAGUCUGUAUGUUCUUUCCUAAUUUUUGGUUUAUAUCUAACAUUUAAAUGGAUCUGUCAAUGUGGUGUCAUUUACAUUAUCUGAAUAUUUUCUGCAAAAAUUUUCCAUUCAAGCAAGGAAAAUGAAGUGCACACUAGCUUCACGCAUUGAUAUAAUUAGUACAAGAGAAAGCACAGAAAUAGGGGACAGCAAGCUGAAUAUGACUUUAAAGGGGGUGCACAGGUGCAAAUUCUAUGUGCAGAACCAGAUUCACAAAAGGCACCAAUUGACAAUGAUUUAUCAGAUAGUGAAAUGAAUUCAAAAGAUACAAAGGAAAUGGUCCCAGUCCGCCAUUCAGGAAGAAUUACAAGAAAAUCAUAUAAGGAAAAAGUCCAUGCCCUGUAGUUGUUGACAUUGAUAAUGAGGAUACUAUAGAAGUGGAUCAAGUUCGAGAGGAAAAUAAAGAGCAUGCUUCAGGCUCUAAGAAAGUUUCUCGAUCUGUUUCAGCCAUUGCAAAUAAUGAAGUUGUGUCUAGUAACAAUGCAAAUAAUAUUCUUUUGGAAGAUUUGAAGCUUUUCGCUCACAAUGGAUGAUUAGAAAUCAUGAAGUUUCAUAUUUUGUAAUAAAGUAUUUAUAAAGAAAGUAGAUAAUGUAAUGGUUGUUGGAAUUGUAAUUCAUGUGUUAAGAAUU